rnacentral:rRNA from 1 species
AGAGUUUGAUCCUGGCUCAGGAUGAACGCUAGCGGCAGGCCUAACACAUGCAAGUCGAGGGGUAACAGGAAAGCUUGCUUUCGCUGACGACCGGCGCACGGGUGCGUAACGCGUAUGCAACCUACCUCAUACUGGAGGAUAGCCCCUGGAAACGGGGAUUAAUACUCCAUAGUAUCACGAAUUCGCAUGUUUUUGUGAUUAAAGUUUUUCGGUAUGAGAUGGGCAUGCGUCCCAUUAGCUUGUUGGUGAGGUAACGGCUCACCAAGGCAACGAUGGGUAGGGGGCCUGAGAGGGUGGUCCCCCACACUGGUACUGAGACACGGACCAGACUCCUACGGGAGGCAGCAGUGAGGAAUAUUGGUCAAUGGAGGCAACUCUGAACCAGCCAUGCCGCGUGAAGGAUGACGGCCCUAUGGGUUGUAAACUUCUUUUAUAGAGGAAGAAACUUGUCUACGUGUAGACAACUGACGGUACUCUACGAAUAAGGAUCGGCUAACUCCGUGCCAGCAGCCGCGGUAAUACGGAGGAUCCAAGCGUUAUCCGGAUUCAUUGGGUUUAAAGGGUCCGUAGGCGGGUCUUUAAGUCAGUGGUGAAAGCCGACAGCUCAACUGUCGAACUGCCAUUGAUACUGGAGACCUUGAGUACAAAUGAAGUAGGCGGAAUGAGUCAUGUAGCGGUGAAAUGCAUAGAUAUGACUCAGAACACCGAUUGCGAAGGCAGCUUACUAACAUGUAACUGACGCUGAGGGACGAAAGCGUGGGGAGCGAACAGGAUUAGAUACCCUGGUAGUCCACGCCGUAAACGAUCAUCACUCGCUGUUGGCGAUAUACUGUCAGCGGCCAAGCGAAAGUAUUAAGUGAUGCACCUGGGGAGUACGCCGGCAACGGUGAAACUCAAAGGAAUUGACGGGGGCCCGCACAAGCGGUGGAGCAUGUGGUUUAA